GACGAACGCUGGCGGCGUGCUUAACACAUGCGAGUCGAACGGAAAGGCCCUGCUUUUGUGGGGUGCUCGAGUGGCGAACGGGUGAGUAACACGUGAGUAACCUGCCCUUGACUUUGGGAUAACUUCAGGAAACUGGGGCUAAUACCGGAUAGGAGCUCCUGCUGCAUGGUGGGGGUUGGAAAGUUUCGGCGGUUGGGGAUGGACUCGCGGCUUAUCAGCUUGUUGGUGGGGUAGUGGCUUACCAAGGCUUUGACGGGUAGCCGGCCUGAGAGGGUGACCGGCCACAUUGGGACUGAGAUACGGCCCUGACUCCUACGGGAGGCAGCAGUGGGGAAUAUUGCACAAUGGGCGGAAGCCUGAUGCAGCAACGCCGCGUGCGGGAUGACGGCCUUCGGGUUGUAAACCGCUUUCGCCUGUGACGAAGCGUGAGUGACGGUAAUGGGUAAAGAAGCACCGGCUAACUACGUG
rnacentral:rRNA from 1 species